CCUACGGGUGGCUGCAGUGGGGAAUAUUGCACAAUGGGGGAAACCCUGAUGCAGCGACGCCGCGUGAAGGAAGAAGGAUUUCGGUAUGUAAACUUCUAUCAGCAGGGAAGAAAAUGACGGUACCUGACUAAGAAGCCCCGGCUAACGACGUGCCAGCAGCCGCGGUAAUACGUAGGGGGCAAGCGUUAUCCGGAUUGACUGGGUGUAAAGGGAGCGUAGGCGGUAAUGCAAGUCCGAAGUGAAAGCCCGGGGCUCAACUCCGGGACUGCUUUUGAAACUGUGUUGCUAGAUUGCAGGAGAGGUAAGUGGACUUCCUAGUGUAGCGGUGAACUGCGUAGAUAUUAGGAGGAACCCCAGUGGCGAAGGCGGCUUACUGGACUGUAAAUGACGCUGCGGCUCGACAGCGUGGGGAGCAAACAGGAUUAGAUACCCUGGUAGUC
rnacentral:rRNA from 1 species